GAUCGAGCUACAAAGAGCUAACGGU
rnacentral:rRNA from 1 species